UUUACGGAGAGUUUGAUCCUGGCUCAGAACUAACGCUGGCGGCGUGCCUAACACAUGCAAGUCGAGCGGUCACCAAUUUGUAGCAAUACAGACGAAGUGAUAGCGGCAGACGGGUGAGUAACACGUAGGCAAUCUACCUUUCCGUCCGGGAUAACUAGCCGAAAGGUUAGCUAAUACCUGAUACGACCAUCGAGCGGCAUCGCUUGAUGCUCAAAGCAGCAAUGCGCGGAUUGAGGAGCCUGCGGCCCAUUAGCUAGUUGGUGCGGGUAACGGCCCACCAAGGCAACGAUGGGUAGCUGGUCUGAGAGGACGACCAGCCACACUGGGACUGAGACACGGCCCAGACUCCUACGGGAGGCAGCAGUGAGGAAUUUUCCGCAAUGGGCGAAAGCCUGACGGAGCGACGCCGCGU
rnacentral:rRNA from 1 species